rnacentral:rRNA from 2 species
AUCGUACCCCAAACCGACACAGGUGGUCAGGUAGAGAAUACCAAGGCGCUUGAGAGAACUCGGGUGAAGGAACUAGGCAAAAUGGUGCCGUAACUUCGGGAGAAGGCACGCUGGUGUGUAGGUGAAGUCCCUGCGGAUGGAGCUGAGACCAGUCGAAGAUACCAGCUGGCUGCAACUGUUUAUUAAAAACACAGCACUGUGCAAACACGAAAGUGGACGUAUACGGUGUGACGCCUGCCCGGUGCCGGAAGGUUAAUUGAUGGG